rnacentral:rRNA from 1 species
AGAGUUUGAUCCUGGCUCAGAUUGAACGCUGGCGGCAGGCCUAACACAUGCAAGUCGAGCGGAUGAAGGGAGCUUGCUCCUGGAUUCAGCGGCGGACGGGUGAGUAAUGCCUAGGAAUCUGCCUGGUAGUGGGGGAUAACGUCCGGAAACGGGCGCUAAUACCGCAUACGUCCUGAGGGAGAAAGUGGGGGAUCUUCGGACCUCACGCUAUCAGAUGAGCCUAGGUCGGAUUAGCUAGUUGGUGGGGUAAAGGCCUACCAAGGCGACGAUCCGUAACUGGUCUGAGAGGAUGAUCAGUCACACUGGAACUGAGACACGGUCCAGACUCCUACGGGAGGCAGCAGUGGGGAAUAUUGGACAAUGGGCGAAAGCCUGAUCCAGCCAUGCCGCGUGUGUGAAGAAGGUCUUCGGAUUGUAAAGCACUUUAAGUUGGGAGGAAGGGCAGUAAGUUAAUACCUUGCUGUUUUGACGUUACCAACAGAAUAAGCACCGGCUAACUUCGUGCCAGCAGCCGCGGUAAUACGAAGGGUGCAAGCGUUAAUCGGAAUUACUGGGCGUAAAGCGCGCGUAGGUGGUUCAGCAAGUUGGAUGUGAAAUCCCCGGGCUCAACCUGGGAACUGCAUCCAAAACUACUGAGCUAGAGUACGGUAGAGGGUGGUGGAAUUUCCUGUGUAGCGGUGAAAUGCGUAGAUAUAGGAAGGAACACCAGUGGCGAAGGCGACCACCUGGACUGAUACUGACACUGAGGUGCGAAAGCGUGGGGAGCAGACAGGAUUAGAUACCCUGGUAGUCC